CGCAGUUGUGUGCACUCUUAUUAAAUUAGUUCUUGAUCCUAGUAAGUUCGUCCUGAUUUAUAGCAAGCAGGCCAGAAGCUGAAAUCGGAAAGAAGCAUUACUGGACGAAGGGAGACUGGUUCGAAGGCCAUUCCAGUAAAACAGGGUCAUCAAGUGCGGUAAUCCAGUGAUACUUAACCUGCUUGGCUCGUGGACCUGCAGUUUGGACAGAGCUCAGUGAGAACAGCUUAUUUUCUUCGUGGCACAUCGGCAGGGGAGAGUCAGCCAGGGCGCGGGCGCUGGGGGACUUAGUUUCAGGAUGGCUCACUCACAUGAUUGACAGGUUAGCGCUGGCUGUCCGUUAGGAGCCCAGCCAGGACUGUGGACCAGGGCCCUCACCUUCUCUCCGAUGUGGGCCUUUCUGUACAGUGGCUGGGUCCCAGCAGCAGGCAGCCCCAAAGAACUGGGGGGGUGUGCAGGGCGUUUUAUGAGACAGUGUCAUAAAGAAGUUCAGAGAAGUUCCGUGCAGGUUCGAGGGGAGGGCACGUGGACCCCACCACCUGAUGGGAGGAGUGUCUGGGUCACUGUCGGAAGAGAAGGUGGCACAGGAGGGACCGCUGCGGCCACAGGGACCUCAGUCUGUUUCCGUUCCACCUCUGAAAGCAAGGACCGUGCUGGCCUCUGCUUCGCAGAGGGAACGAGGGGGUUGCAGCGUAAGUGCCGAGAGCGGCAGUGCCACGUGGCAAGCGCUGUCCCUGUGGAGCUGUCGCUCUCGUCUUCCUCUGCCCAGCGCCUGUUGUCCAGCUCGCUGUGAAAACCCAGACGGACGUCUCCACUUCAUCUAAUGUUCCGCCCUGCCUGCCUUACCUUCAGCCAUCCCACCUGUUUUCAAAGCCAAAGUUCUUGAAAAAUCGUUUGUUUUCUGUCUCCCCCUUUUCUAAACGCCCUGAUCUGGCUUUACCUCCAAUACAACACUGAACUCCUUA